UAGUCACUGCCCCGCCAUGAUCGUUUCUCAUUGUUUGCAUUUUUGGGCCAAAAAACUAGAAUUCCGCCCGAUUACCAUAUUUUUGUGUGCUAUUGCCCACGCCUUCCGAGUGGGACGGGCCCCCGGACUCGAAUCGCUUAAAUUUUUCCGGGACAUCAAAUAGGACCUAAGGAACCAUAGCCACUGCCUCGCCAUGAUCGUUCCACAUUUUUUGAAUUUUUCGGCCAAAAAACGUGAAUUCCGCCCGAUUUCCAUAUUUUUGUGUUCUAUAGCCCACGCCUUCCAAGUGGUCCCGGAACCCCCGGACCCCGAUCACCUAAGGUUUUUUCGGGCCAUCAAACACGACCUAAGGAAAUAUAGUAACCGCCCUGCCAUGAUCGUUCCUCAGGUUUUGCAUUUUUCGGCCAAACAACUAGAAUUCCGCGCGAUUCCCAUAUUUUCGUGUGCUAUAGCCCACGCCUUCCGAGU
rnacentral:lncRNA from 1 species